rnacentral:lncRNA from 1 species
UAUGAUGAUUUUGAAUCAUUGAGUGUUGAAGUGAUAAACCACUUAACGAGACGGAAACUAGGCAAGGAUUUCACCUUUAUGUCCCUAUCCUAAUGGUUCACUAAGUUUAUUGUAAACUGUAUGGUGAACAAUAAACACAUACUCCCCAAAAUGUUUGAUGUGUAUAACACAAUUGAAAUAAGUUUCAAGAGAGAUAGUGGGAGUUUAGGGACCAUGACUAAUGUAGUCAAAGGUGAAAGUCAAAUAAAGAAGAUAAAAAUAACUCCAAGGGAACAAACUUUCUUUAUGAAAGGAUGGACAUUGGAAGGGGUAUUUGCA